rnacentral:lncRNA from 1 species
UUUUUCUCAUCGUCAUGUCGCGCGCGAAUAACACGCAGUACACCAACCUUCAUAUUUUUCUUGGCACUAAGUACGGACGUACAUAUGUUGUGAAUGAUAUCGGCUGCUACUGCACAAAGAUAUAAUAGAAUUUUUUCAUUCCCUUAUUUAAAGAAUACACAUUUCUCUGCACAUAAGUAGACGACAAACGAGCAAUAUUAGUUUCGUUAAACUUUGGAGGAAAACGCACAGAGUUGGCUACAGUGGCAAAAUGGCCAUCGUCGUUUCGGGAACGAUCAAGUUGCUGUAUGCGGCCUUAAAGCCGGCAUUAUGCACCAAAGAACCGCUAAGAUAAUAGCUAGAGCCAAAGUAAUCAAUCAGGUGCAAGCUUUUAGUGAAGUAGCAAGUGAAGUAGAUGGUUUCGAGUCUUCGGACAACUCUCUCGUGGAUUCAACUUACAAUUCAUCUUCCGGAGAAUCUGAGUCUGACGAAGAAGUUCAAGAAGAGGAAAUGUACAGAAGAAGAACGAAUCAACCAGCCAAAUCAAAUUCAACAAAGAGAAGAAAACUCGUUUUUGAGAAUAAAGAAAACGAAAAAUGUAGCAGAAUAAAAUCCAGUCACUCCUCUAAACCUCUUAAAGGCCACUCCAAAUUGAAUUCGUUCCCUCAACAAAUUGUCAGACAAGUUGUGGUGUCAGCUCCUAAAGAUUCUGUGCAAUUGAUCCCAGAAACUUCUGUUGGUGCUACAAAUGAUAUCGCUGCAAACCUGGUCACGAAGAAACCUUCCGAAGAACAGUUAUCACUCAAAGACUCUUUGUGUGUGUUUUCUUCAAAGAGUGAUGUUUCUCAGAAACCAAAUGCUAGUGAUAAUUGUAACAUGUCCAAAACUCUUGGAGCCGUUAAUGAUGCUGCAGGUGCUAAUGUUUCUAAAAAUCCUCUUAACGAACGGUCAUCCCUAGAAAACUCAAUAAGGGUGGUUUCUUCGAAAAGUGAUUUUUCUCUUUCUCCAAUUGGUAGUGAUAAUUUGAAAAACGUAUCAGAAACUCCUGCAGUCGUGAAUGUUGCACCUCAAUCCCAUAAUUUUGCUGAGAGACCUGCAGAAAGUACCCUCAAAAACUUUUUCAAUACAAUUUCUCCUUUGCGUAAUUUCUCCCUGCCAGAAACUCCAACUAGUGAAGUUUUUAUCCCAAGUCCAGACACGCCAAAUGAGCCUGUUGAAAAAGCUGUAAUUAAUUUGCCUCCAUCUCCAAAUUAUGUACCAAAAAUCUAUGACAGCAAUUGCCAUGCUUCCUCUGACCCUUUAAAAUUCAAUCAGACCUGUAAUGUACCCCUCUCCACCUCUGCCUCUCCUGUUACCUCUCAUGUUCCCAGCUCAAGCGCAAUCUCAGAUUUGAGGCAGAACUCUAAUAAUCACUCUGGGCCGGUUGGCACGCUCAGUCGCUCAAAAGGACAUGGUGAAGAUGUUCUCUCACCUUCCGCUGAAUGGGUCCGGAAGCAAUCAGAAAGUGAUGUACAAGGGUUGUCUGCCUCUCCUGUUACCUCUCAUGUUCCCAGCUCAAGCGCAAUCUCAGAUUUGAGGCAGAACUCUAAUAAUCACUCUGGGCAGGAUGGCACGCUCAGUCGCUCGAAAGGACAUGGUGAAGAUGUUCUCUCACCUUCCGCUGAAUGGGUCCGGAAGCAAUCAGAAAGUGAUGUACAAGGGUUGUCUGCCUCUCCUGUUACCUCUCAUGUUCCCAGCUCAAGCGCAAUCUCAGAUUUGAGGCAAAACUCUAAUAAUCACUCUGGGCCGGUUGACACGCUCAGUCGCUCGAAAGGACAUGGUGAAGAUGUUCUCUCACCUUCCGCUGAAUGGGUCCGGAAGCAAUUAGAAAGUGAUGUACAAGGGUUGUCUGCCUCUCCUGUUACCUCUCAUGUUUCCAGCUCAAGCGCAAUCUCAGAUUUGAGGCAGAACUCUAAUAAUCACUCUGGGCCGGUUGGCACGCUCAGUCGCUCGAAAGGACAUGGUGAAGAUGUUCUCUCACCUUCCGCUGAAUGGGUCCGGAAGCAAUUAGAAAGUGAUGUACAAGGGUUGUCAGUGUUAAGCUGGUUCAAGACCCGAAAUUCCCUUGUUAAUCGUAAAAGGGGAAUCAUAUCCAAAGUAUUAAUUGAAUCUGAACUUAAACCUGAUCUGUCAAAAUACAUCAGUCCUGAAAGGUUCAUGGCAAUGGCAGAAGCUAUUACAGAAGCGUUUCCUUGCGAAACCGAAGAAACCUAUUAUGUUCCUCGCCGCAGGAAUGCCUUAAAUAAAGUUUGCAAAGCUAAGGGUAAACUUUACAACAUGUAUUUAAAUAUGAGGAAAGACUUAAGAAAGAAUAACCUUAUAAUCGGACGAAGAGAUCUAGACCCGGUGAUAACUUCAUCUUCUGAAAGUGAUGAUGAGGACGGUGAAGCAAAUCAAAUAAUAGUUUGGACUAAAAACCACUCGGAACCUUUCGACGAAGUUCUAGUCAAAUUUCGACAAUCAUCUGUCCAACGAAUCCAACAAUUCACGAGGUCAGGAAGUAAUGACAUUGGCCUAUUCUUAAAUCUUUACCCUGCGUACAAGAAGGACAAUGGGUAUAUUCUGAUUCUUAAAGAUUUUGAACAGAUAUAUCCCGGGAAAGCCGACCGCUUGCUGCAGAAUUGGGAAUCUUUUGCUCCCAAGUUAAUAGACAGAGGAAUAUUUUUGGCAGACAAUUGCUCAGAGAUCGAACGAACUUUAAGAUCAUUGAACAUAAUUUUAGCUCCAAAAGAUGAUUGGGAACGAACCCUUCAUUCUUUGAUGUUGCUGCCAAUUUUGUUACCCAGUAAAAACGACAGGAAGUGGAAACCAAGCAGAAUUGAAUCAAAAGAUGGGUUCUUACUGUACGCUGAAACCAAUCAGGAAGCAAUCCAGAAGUUAGUAUUAAGGAAAAAGAUACUGCAGCAAAGUGGGUAUCCAGAGCAGCCCAUUCCAGUCGUAGUAGGUAAUGAAUGCAAUGUCUGCAUAGGCAAUAUAAUAUACAGAGUUGACACCCCACUAUUAGCACUGGAUAUUUGUUGCAAAUUGUAUUUCAUGCUAAAAAUCAAGCCACCGCCGGACACCUUAUUCUCAAUUUUGUUUUUACGGUGCUAUCUGUAUGAAAUAGAUCCGGAUGGUGCGUUAGAGUACCAAGGCUUAAGAACUUUGUUUCAUGACUUAACUUAUACGGAUCCAAAAUGAUGGUUUUUGCAUUCUGAUCCAAGUUCAUUUAAAGUUCCUCAUUGUACUUCUGCCAAAAUGGGUGUUCUUAUUUUGUUUUUGUUAACUCUAUACUUUUCUCCUAGUCUAUUUUCUUUAAUUCUAGACUUUUUUAUUUUUUCGUUAAUUAUCUUUACCAGUGUGUAUUAAAAUAUAUCAGUGUUAAAAAAUGAUCCCUUGCUCCUGGCCCAAAUGUAAGCUCAUUUUGACUUCCUUAGCUGAUCUCUUAAAUCAUUUCAACUCUGCCCAUGGAAUUACAGCACUAGAUUCGGUGGAAUGUAAACUUUGUCCUCGGGCCUUCACUAAUUUACAAUCCUUCAAGAAACAUUUUUUGAGUGCACAUAAGAAAUAUGUAUCGAAUCGCCAAACAAGUUCUCUGAACACUGCGAUCAGUGGUAAUAAUGAUAUUAAUAACGUUGAUGAGCCUCAACCUGAAUGCUCUCAUUCCAGCUCUUCUGAUUUGAUAAUUACUGAUGCCACAACUAAUAAUGAGCUUUCAAGAUCUGUUUCUAAUUUUAUUUCAAGUGAUAUUUCUGUUAGCCAAUCAGUUUGUCAUGAAUUGGACCCUGUGCUGUCAGAUGAAAAGAUUCAGGAAGCGCUUGAAGCCAAAGUGUUUUUAUUUUGUAGUCAAAUGUACAGCUUUACGGGGAUCCCAAUGUCUCAUGCUGAAAUGACUGUGCACUGGGUUAUAGAUCUUGUCCAAGGUAUCAACAGUGCUUAUAAGGAGACGAUUAAAAAUUUAUCAAGCAGUUUAAACGAUGAAAGUUUGAAUGUUAUUACUUCAAGUAUGACAAAGGCUUUUUCCUCUGUCGAAAGCACUCUUAAUUUUUAUAAAACCAGGUAUCGCACGGUUAAAAUUUUGAAAAAUAAAGGAUUUUUUUUCCACCAAAACUUGUAACAUUAGGUUACAUAAACAAACGAAGAAAAUUCAAGAAGAAAUUUUGUGUUGUUCGCACCAAGGAAACAAGUGUCUUUAUUCCACUGCGGUAUGUUCUCACUAAGUUUCUGGAGCAGGACAAUGUUCUCUCAAACAUUCUCCAAUAUUUGGAAAAACUCAAAACCGAAAAUGUCAUUAUUGAAAAUGUUGUACAAGGUCAAUGCUGGCGGGAAACACUGAGUAAAUGUGAGAAUAAAGGAAAAAUAAUUUUACCCUUAUUCCUGGAUAAUGAUGACAUCGAAGUCGGAAAUGCUUUGGGUGGGCAUGCUGGUGUCCAAAAGAUAAAUGCAACCUAUUACUUUAUUCCCUGCCUUCUUCCAGAAGUUAGGGCAUCCCUUAACCAUAUUUUUUUGACCCUUUUAACAAAGGCAUCUAAUCUUAAACGCUAUGGAAAUAAACUUGUUUUUAAACCAGUAAUUAAAGAAUUAAAAUAUCUUUCAGCUAAAGGAAUCACUGUUAUGGUAGAUGGCAAGGCUACCAAAGUAUUCUUUCAGCUUUGCAUGUUAAUAGGAGACAACUUAGGUUUGAAUACUAUUGCAGGUUUCAACCAAAAUUUUUCAACAAGUCAUUUCUGUUGCAGAAUUUGUUCUGCUAACAAUGUUCAAAGAAAAUACUACACAAAAGAAGUAGAAAAUCUCCUGCGCACUGUUCAAAACUAUGAAACAGACGUUAUCAAAAAAGAUCUUACUGCUACAGGAAUUCGUGAAAAAUGUGUGUUCAAUGCCAUCACAAAUUAUGACAUCAUUACAAAUGGUGGUGUGGACGUGACUCAUGACCUUUUUGAAGGAUGUGUUCAGUAUGAUCUUUGUUUUAUCCUGAAACACUACAUUUUUACCACUAAACAUUUUACUCUUGCUAUGGUAAAUGAUAGGAUAAAUUCCUUUAACUACGGAUCUGCAGAUAUUUCGAACAAGCCUCCGCCACUUCCUGAAAAUAUUUUAAAGAGAACAACGUUGAAAAUGUCAGCUACUGAAACUGCUUGUUUACUCAAAUAUUUUGGCCUUUUGUUUGUCAACUUGAAUGUUCCAAUCCAUGAAGACGAUCAAGUUUGGCAACUUUACGUUCUUUUGCGAAGAAUAGUCAGUAUUGUCAUGAGCCCAUUUGUUGAUUUAAAAGUUUGUGACCUCCUGGCCUCGUACAUAUCGGAGCAUCAUAGUCUUUACUUAAUUUUAACCAAGAAAUCUCUUCCUUUCAAAUUUCAUAGUAUGACACACUAUCCACGAUUGAUGGUCAAAUUCGGUCCUUUGGUUCAUCUGUGCACCAUCAGAUUUGAACACAAGCAUCGUGUGCUGAAAAGUGUCAGCAAUGCAGUAGCAAGUCGACGUAAUAUAUGUUACACUAUGGCUCGGAAAUGUCAGUUGCAUUUAGGACACAAUUUUCUGUUAAACAAAUUUUCAGAAGUCAAAUUACUUACAGGCCCAAAUAAAUCAUUUAAUGACAAUGACAGGUUUUGGAAUGAAAUUGCAGGUUUUGUUUUCACUACACGCAUCCCUGAAAUAUUACGGGAUGAAUGCUCAGUAAGAACACCAUGGGUAGAAGUUAAAGGUACCCGUUACUGUGAGGGGGAGACUUUGUAUGUCGAAGUAGACGAAGAUACAAGUCUUCCAAUUUUUGGAUUUAUUGUGAACAUUUUUGUCUCUAACGGAAUUGUUUAUUUUCUCCUCAGAAAUUUUAGGACCAUAUCAUUUAACGAGCAAAUGUUUUGUUAUGAACUUGAGAAUGCUAAUUCGUAUUCUGUUAUCAGCCAUGAGUCUAUUCAGGACUUUCGUCCUCAUAAUGCUGUUUCUGUAUUAAAUCGUAACUUCUUUGUCUCCUUACUCAAUGAUAUGUAAAUUCUUGCUUAGUUAAGGUCUUAAAAUAGCACGAUGAUUAUGACAUUUAUUUCAUUUUGGAAAAUAUCACUUUUUUCUCCAGGUAAAUUGAAAGUUUUAAUGUGCUUCUUUUGAAGUGGGUUUUUUUUCCUUUCAUAUACCUACUCCUGGCUUUUUUGCAUGUCUAUUACCUCCGCAAUUCUAGACUUUUACACCACUUAGUUUUUUCCUAUAAUAAGUGGUGGUUAAGUGGUACUAAGUGGUAUUUUUCUAACAUAAACCCACAAAUUAUAACACGUACACGCACACAUCUUUACAUAUUGUAUCUUAAAGUUAUCCUUUGCUCUCGGCCCACGUAUAAGUGCAAUUCAGCUGCAUUACCUGAUCUAUCCAUCAUUUAGAAUGUGCUGCAAUACACAGGGUAAGGCAGGCUUUCCGGGACAGUCAUUUAACUUUUGAAUAGCUCACUUGGAAAAAUGAAAUUUUGAUUUUUCUAAACCAUUAGAAGCUACUUUUUUAAGGAUGUAAAAUUUCAUGAGUUCUAUACGGAUCCUAAUUGAAAUUUUGCCUAACACAACUUACUUUUAUCGGAGGUAUCUCUCUCUGCUUUAAUGAGGUUACUUACAAUUUUGGCAGGGGCUAAGACAAAAUAUUUUUGAACUACUUUGCUUUAUUCCUUUUUAUACUUUUUAGUUUUUAGUACUUUUUAGUUUAUACUUUUUUAAAUUAGUUUGCUUUAUUCCUUUUUAUACUUUUUUUAAGUGGCAAUGAACUGCUGGGUUGCCUUACUCAGUGGAGUUCUUUAUUCUUAUUUAUUCUAGUAACCUUUAUCUUUUCUUGCAUCUUUACACAAUUUCAAGUUUUACAGUAACAUACGUAAUGUGAAACUGGCAGGCUAUUUCACUUUAGAUGAUUAGUCCACACAGUGUAACUAAGAGGCUACUUAAUGAAUCCAACUCUAGAUCUGUUCUUAUUAUCAGGAAAAGGAAAAGUCUUUUCUCCAAGAACUUUUCCUUUAGGAGUGCUGCAAGUAUCACAAUAAUUUAUUAAGGGGUACUUCACAGGAUUUCUAAGUACGUAUUUAAGAGCAAUCUCUUGCCCUUAUCUUAUAUUUUUAAAUUUGCUUUAAUAUCAGACUUGAAGCGAUAAGACAGUGGCAUUCACUUUAACUUACAACCAUGUCCUUGCACUUCAUCAUUGAUGAAUUUUUUGUGUUAUUUAUAAACGAAAUAUAAUUGAAGUUAGUGAAAAAGCAACAACUCCUCAAUGUCUUUACUGCUCUUUUCUUUGAGAUUUUUUAAACUAGUUUUUAUCCAAAUUUCAAUAAUGUAGGUAAAAAAAUGCAAAGGAUUUUUUAAAAUGUUCUCUCUGCUCCUUGAAUUUCUUCUUUUUUUAAUUUAUGUAAUUUUUUCUAUUUAUUAUAGUUAUUUUUGUUCUUACUGGUGCGAUUUUCUUUGUACUGUCCCUUUCUUGAAGACUUUUGUAUGUUAAGAUAUUUUAAGUAUGUUGUUACUCUUCCAAAUUUUACAUGCACUCGUGUAAAUUCAUUUAGUUAUCAAAUACAAUUGUCUCCAAAGACAUUCAUUUAUAGUUAAUUUUUUUUUUUUUUUUUUUUUUUUUUUUUUUUUUUUUUACACCUUUAAAUUUGAUCAACUAUUAUUAAUUCAGCUUAUUUUUGUAGUAUCAUAUUUUCCUUUUUUGACAUUUUGAACUUUUGAUUAAAAGCAAAUUUCACACAAAACACUAAAAAAGUUGCAAUGGCACUUACAUUUUUAUAGGGGAAAAAACAACAUAAUUUUAAAUACUAACAAUUCUGUCCCUUCAGAAUUUUCCUCGAAAGUAGGUAACGUUCAGAGAAACGCAAAUAAGUGACCUGCAAUUGUAAAAUUUCAUUAUUUUAAUUUCUAGAAAAACGGAUACACAGUCUUUUGAAAAUUUAAGCACCUACCCG